AUUGAACGCUGGCGGCAGGCCUAACACAUGCAAGUCGAGCGGAUGAGUGGAGCUUGCUCCAUGAUUCAGCGGCGGACGGGUGAGUAAUGCCUAGGAAUCUGCCUGGUAGUGGGGGUCAACGUUUCGAAAGGAACGCUAAUACCGCAUACGUCCUACGGGAGAAAGUGGGGGAUCUUCGGACCUCACGCUAUCAGAUGAGCCUAGGUCGGAUUAGCUAGUUGGUGAGGUAAAGGCUCACCAAGGCGACGAUCCGUAACUGGUCUGAGAGGAUGAUCAGUCACACUGGAACUGAGACACGGUCCAGACUCCUACGGGAGGCAGCAGUGGGGAAUAUUGGACAAUGGGCGAAGGCCUGAUCCAGCCAUGCCGCGUGUGUGAAGAAGGUCUUCGGAUUGUAAAGCACUUUAAGUUGGGAGGAAGGGCAGUAAGUUAAUACCUUGCUGUUUUGACGUUACCAACAGAACAAGCACCGGCUAACUUCGUACCAGCAGCCGCGGUAACAC
rnacentral:rRNA from 1 species